GACCCGAAACCCGGUGAUCUAGCCAUGGGCAGGUUGAAGGUUGGGUAACACUAACUGGAGGACCGAACCGACUAAUGUUGAAAAAUUAGCGGAUGACUUGUGGCUGGGGGUGAAAGGCCAAUCAAACCGGGAGAUAGCUGGUUCUCCCCGAAAGCUAUUUAGGUAGCGCCUCGUGAAUUCAUCUCCGGGGGUAGAGCACUGUUUCGGCAAGGGGGUCAUCCCGACUUACCAACCCGAUGCAAACUGCGAAUACCGGAGAAUGUUAUCACGGGAGACACACGGCGGGUGCUAACGUCCGUCGUGAAGAGGGAAACAACCCAGACCGCCAGCUAAGGUCCCAAAGUCAUGGUUAAGUGGGAAACGAUGUGGGAAGGCCCAGACAGCCAGGAUGUUGGCUUAGAAGCAGCCAUCAUUUAAAGAAAGCGUAAUAGCUCACUGGUCGAGUCGGCCUGCGCGGAAGAUGUAACGGGGCUAAACCAUGCACCGAAGCUGCGGCAGCGACACUAUGUGUUGUUGGGUAGGGGAGCGUUCUGUAAGCCUGUGAAGGUGUGCUGUGAGGCAUGCUGGAGGUAUCAGAAGUGCGAAUGCUGACAUAAGUAACGAUAAAGCGGGUGAAAAGCCCGCUCGCCGGAAGACCAAGGGUUCCUGUCCAACGUUAAUCGGGGCAGGGUGAGUCGACCCCUAAGGCGAGGCCGAAAGGCGUAGUCGAUGGGAAACAGGUUAAUAUUCCUGUACUUGGUGUUACUGCGAAGGGGGGACGGAGAAGGCUAUGUUGGCCGGGCGACGGUUGUCCCGGUUUAAGCGUGUAGGCUGGUUUUCCAGGCAAAUCCGGAAAAUCAAGGCUGAGGCGUGAUGACGAGGCACUACGGUGCUGAAGCAACAAAUGCCCUGCUUCCAGGAAAAGCCUCUAAGCAUCAGGUAACAUCAAAUCGUACCCCAAACCGACACAGGUGGUCAGGUAGAGAAUACCAAGGCGCUUGAGAGAACUCGGGUGAAGGAACUAGGCAAAAUGGUGCCGUAACUUCGGGAGAAGGCACGCUGAUAUGUAGGUGAGGUCCCUCGCGGAUGGAGCUGAAAUCAGUCGAAGAUACCAGCUGGCUGCAACUGUUUAUUAAAAACACAGCACUGUGCAAACACGAAAGUGGACGUAUACGGUGUGACGCCUGCCCGGUGCCGGAAGGUUAAUUGAUGGGGUUAGCGCAAGCGAAGCUCUUGAUCGAAGCCCCGGUAAACGGCGGCCGUAACUAUAACGGUCCUAAGGUAGCGAAAUUCCUUGUCGGGUAAGUUCCGACCUGCACGAAUGGCGUAAUGAUGGCCAGGCUGUCUCCACCCGAGACUCAGUGAAAUUGAACUCGCUGUGAAGAUGCAGUGUACCCGCGGCAAGACGGAAAGACCCCGUGAACCUUUACUAUAGCUUGACACUGAACAUUGAGCCUUGAUGUGUAGGAUAGGUGGGAGGCUUAGAAGUGUGGACGCCAGUCUGCAUGGAGCCGACCUUGAAAUACCACCCUUUAAUGUUUGAUGUUCUAACGUUGACCCGUAAUCCGGGUUGCGGACAGUGUCUGGUGGGUAGUUUGACUGGGGCGGUCUCCUCCUAAAGAGUAACGGAGGAGCACGAAGGUUGGCUAAUCCUGGUCGGACAUCAGGAGGUUAGUGCAAUG
rnacentral:rRNA from 1 species